rnacentral:lncRNA from 1 species
CCUGAUCUUUCGUGUUAACUAAUCGCAUAAGACUUGAGAAAAGAAUUAAAUUUUAGGUUUUGUAUGCAAGACAAAGGUAAAUAUGCAAAAUGCAGUGAAUCAAUUAGCUAAAAGAAACUAUGAAUGAAUGAAGUUGUUGGGGUUUACAAUUUCAUCUUAUCCAUCCUCUUAUAUCUACUUUUCUUAUCUAAUUCGCUUCUUUAUCAUAUUGUCAUGCAAACUUUCUUGAUCUACCCUUAACCCAAUCCCUUGGUGAAAAGAGCCUAUUACUAAUUACCGGCUUGCUAUCCCUAGCCUCCCCUAGUAAUUAAUAAUGCAUGAUAAACGGAAGCAAAAUACAAUUGAUCGUCCUACCCCCAUCCCUAGGCGGUAUUAGCAUAAUCAAGGAAUUCCCCCCAGUUCAUGACAUUAUUGUACGUCCC